UGCGUGUGUGUGUGUGUGUGUGUGUGUGUGCAUGUGUGUGUGUGUGUGUGUCGGGCUCGUUUCUGUGUUGCACAUGGACAGCAGUGAGAGCUGCGUUAUUCUAGGGGUGUUUUUCUUUGUUUUUAUUUGUAAAUGAUAAUGUGCCCGAGCGAAUGUGUGUGUGUGUGUAUAUAUAUGUGUGUGUGAGGACGUUCUGCUCGUGUCUUUAUAAGGAACAACCGUGAUUAUUUGUCUCGAGGCAGAGAGAUAUAUAAGCUUGACUGAAUCUUCUCAAGGCUCCUCUGUUCACGUUUGGAAGGAAGUUCUCGUCUGGAUGUUUUCAUGGCAUCACUGUAAACACUCCCGGUUGGAAGUCUCUCGAGGUCCCGGCGGAGAACUCAAUCACACAUCUGUCAUUAAAGCGAUUCUCUUUUGGGGAGCUCAUCAUUCUUCUUAUGUUGUAUUUUUAAUCAUAUUCACUUUUUAUUUGCAAUCUCAUGAUGAACGUGAUCGACUGGCAGCGGGAUCAGAUGUUUAUCUCCUGGAACGAUGAUGAUGAUGAUGAUGAUGAUGGUUUAUCUGCAGGUUUGUGCUGUUUAACGAGGCGCUUGUUUUUCUACACGAUUCUGAACUGCAAUAAAACCAUGAUGUACUGAAGUAAGAUGUCCACACAACACUGGGUGUAAAGAGAGAUUAAUAAUAAUAAUAAUAAUAAUAAUAGUUGUCCAACA